rnacentral:rRNA from 1 species
UGAGCCUGCGUAGGAUUAGCUAGUUGGUAGGGUAAAGGCCUACCAAGGCGACGAUCCUUAGCUGUUCUGAGAGGAAGAUCAGCCACACUGGGACUGAGACACGGCCCAGACUCCUACGGGAGGCAGCAGUGGGGAAUAUUGGACAAUGGGCGAAAGCCUGAUCCAGCAAUACCGCGUGUGUGAAGAAGGCCUUAGGGUUGUAAAGCACUUUCAAUUGGGAGGAAAAAACAAGGGUCAAUACCCCUUGUCUUGACAUUACCUUUAGAAGAAGCACCGGCUAACUCCGUGCCAGCAGCCGCGGUAAUACGGAGGGUGCGAGCGUUAAUCGGAAUUACUGGGCGUAAAGAGUGCGUAGGCGGCUCGUUAAGUCAGAUGUGAAAGCCCUGGGCUCAACCUGGGAACUGCAUUUGAAACUGGCGAGCUAGAGUUGAGUAGAGGUAAGUGGAAUUUCAGGUGUAGCGGUGAAAUGCGUAGAUAUCUGAAGGAACACCAGUGGCGAAGGCGACUUA